rnacentral:tRNA from 1 species
UGCAAAGUAAGCUAAUGUAAAGCUUUUGGGCUCAUGACCCGAGAAUGGCAUUUUAUGCCCUUUGUUA